AAAACGGCCCUUUUCAGGGCCAUCAAAUUUUAUAAGAUCAAACAUUU
rfam:Tropilaelaps mercedesae isolate Wuxi-XJTLT scaffold0000001254, whole genome shotgun sequence.